CGGUGACAGCGGGGUUUCUUUUUUUCCUUUUCUCUUUUAUGCAAAUCAAUUUAUUUUGUGUUAUUGUGGCACAAAGCUCUGCGCUAGUAUCCAGGAGGCGAUUUUCAUGCAGAAGGCUUCAAAGUCCCGUUGAAACUGAUGGGAAAAUUGAGGCAGAAGAUAGGAAAUAUCCAUAUUGUGAGCUAGCUGCUCUCUUCCAGCCGUUUAUCCAGCUCUCUGGUUUUGGUUCCCAACACAUGAUUUUGGUACAUAGUUCGGCACUGAGGCCCCAGGGGACAGCUGGACUACUUUAUCAAGGUGGAGAGUGGAAGGUAUCUGACCAUUGCUGAGCUCUUGUCUGAAAGGCCUGGGUGAGGAGCACCAUGAAGAAAAGAUUUCUGUCACAGCCAGCAAAGGCCAGAUCCCCAGG